rnacentral:rRNA from 1 species
GACGAACGCUGGCGGCGUGCUUAACACAUGCAAGUCGAACGAGACGAUUGAAAGCUUGCUUUCGAAAGUCGAGUGGCAAACGGGUGAGUAACGCGUAGACAACCUGCCCUUGAGAUGGGGACAACAGUUCGAAAGGACUGCUAAUACCGAAUGUUGUAUAUUUUCCACAUGGAAGGUAUAUUAAAGAUGGCCUCUAUUUAUAAGCUAUCGCUCAAAGAUGGGUCUGCGUCUGAUUAGCUGGUUGGUGGGGUAACGGCCUACCAAGGCGACGAUCAGUAGCCGGUCUGAGAGGAUGAACGGCCACAUUGGGACUGAGACACGGCCCAGACUCCUACGGGAGGCAGCAGUGGGGAAUCUUCCACAAUGGACGAAAGUCUGAUGGAGCAACGCCGCGUGAGUGAAGAAGGGUUUCGGCUCGUAAAGCUCUGUUGUCGGGGACGAAUGUGCAGUAUUUGAAUAAAGUACUGCAAUGACGGUACCUGACGAGGAAGCCACGGCUAACUACGUGCCAGCCGCCGCCGUAA